rnacentral:rRNA from 1 species
AACGCAGCGAAGGGCGAUAAGUAAUGUGAAUUGCAGAAUUCAGUGAAUCAUCGAAUCUUUGAACGCACCUUGCGCUCCUUGGUAUUCCGAGGAGCAUGCCUGUUUGAGUGUCAUUAAAAUUAUCAACCUCUUCAAGAGGCUUGGAUUUGGAGUGUUGCUGGCUUGUUGUUGGCUCCUCUUAAAUGAAUUAAGCUUGUGUGUAGGCUUUGGUUUGAUAAUUAUCUAUGCCUUGAGACUUUGAAGCAAACUAAUGGGAACCUGCUUAUAACCGUCUUCGGACAAUCUCUGACAUUUUGACCUCAAAUCAGGUAGGACUACCCGCUGAACUUAA